CCUUUCACAGAUGGACCGUUAAGCCAGCCCAGGGGACGGCAGAGCAGCCUGAGGGAGCAAGAACUGUCACCACGGUCUGCCCGGGAAGUAGGUCCACACUGUCCCUUGCACAGUUUUAGACCACAAAUCUCAGCUUCUGGGAGCCAUAAUCAGGGCUGCAACCCUGUGCCAUCAGCAGAUAUGAAAGCAAGUGGAAGAUCCCUACAUAUAUGGGAUGCAGGUGAGGGUAACGUUGCACCC
rnacentral:lncRNA from 1 species